rnacentral:rRNA from 1 species
UACGAAGGGGGCGAGCGUUGUUCGGAAUCACUGGGCGUAAAGGGCGCGUAGGCGGGGAGGUAAGUCGGGGGUGAAAUCCCUCGGCCCAACCGAGGAACUGCGCCCGAGACUGCUUCUCUUGAGUCCCGGAGAGGAAGAUGGAAUUCCCGGUGUAGCGGUGAAAUGUGUAGAGAUCGGGAGGAACACCGGUGGCGAAGGAGGUCUUCUGGACGGUGACUGACGCUGAGGCGCGAAAGCGUGGGGAGCAAACGGG